rnacentral:lncRNA from 1 species
CAAAGCCACAGUGUGACUGCUUCUGCCGGAACCUGGAGAGUAGUUUUUGGAAACGGGAUCAAACUAGUUGUAGAAUCAAGUGAAUCGUCUGAGCCGUCCUACUACAGGCUGAGUGGACAAGAUGAAAAAGGGAAAAACAUCUCGGCCUGCCUGGCCAGCGACUUCAGCGACUUCAACACCACUAGAGACAGUGUGCUGUUCAAUGGGACGGAGGCGACCCGGAUGGAGGGAGACCGUUUCUACAGCCAGGUGGCGCUGUACAAGCCAGAGGACGGGCAGGAUUGCCCGGAAACAUCUGGACCCGGCUGUGGCGGUGGACUCUUCAGCCCAGACGUGGGGGUGA